GAACUUAAGCAUAUCAAUAAGCGGAGGAAAAGAAACCAACAGGGAUUGCCUCAGUAACGGCGAGUGAAGCGGCAACAGCUCAAAUUUGAAAUCUGGCCGCAAGGUCCGAGUUGUAAUUUGUAGAGGAUGCUUUUGGCGAGGUGCCUUCCGAGUUCCCUGGAACGGGACGCCAUAGAGGGUGAGAGCCCCGUACGGUAGGACCACCAAGCCUCUGUAAAGCUCCUUCGACGAGUCGAGUAGUUUGGGAAUGCUGCUCUAAACGGGAGGUGUACGUCUUCUAAAGCUAAAUACCGGCCAGAGACCGAUAGCGCACAAGUAGAGUGAUCGAAAGAUGAAAAGCACUUUGAAAAGAGGGUUAAAAAGUACGUGAAAUUGUUGAAAGGGAAGCAUUCAUGACCAGACUUGGGCUUGGUUGAACAUCCGGCGUUCUCGCCGGUGCACUCUGCCAGUCCAGGCCAGCAUCAGUUUGCCCCGGGGGAUAAAGGCGGCGGGAAUGUGGCUCCCUUCGGGGAGUGUUAUAGCCCGUCGUGUAAUGCCCUGGGGCGGACUGAGGAACGCGCUUCGGCACGGAUGCUGGCGUAAUGGUCAUCAAUGACCCGUCUUGAAACACGGACCAAGGAGUCGUCUUCGUAUGCGAGUGUUCGGGUGUCAAACCCCUACGCGUAAUGAAAGUGAACGUAGGUGAGAGCUUCGGCGCAUCACCGACCGAUCCUGAUGUUCUCGGAUGGAUUUGAGUAAGAGCAUACGGGGCCGGACCCGAAA
rnacentral:rRNA from 1 species